rnacentral:tRNA from 1 species
UCCCUGGUGGCUCAGAGGUUAAAGCAUUUGCCUGGAAUGCUGGAGACCUGGGUUCGAUCCCUGGGUGGGGAA